rnacentral:rRNA from 1 species
UCUCCCUGACUCCUUGAGAGUCCUGAAGGAACGUUGAAGACGACGACGUUGAUAGGCCGGGUGUGUAAGCGCAGCGAUGCGUUGAGCUAACCGGUACUAAUGAACCGUGAGGCUUAACCUUACAACGCCGAAG